rnacentral:misc_RNA from 1 species
GAUGAAGAACGUAGCGAAAUGCGAUAAGUAAUGUGAAUUGCAGAAUUCAGUGAAUCAUCGAAUCUUUGAACGCACCUUGCACCCUUUGGCUAUUCCGAAGGGUAUGCCUGUUUGAGUAUCAUGAACACCUCAACUCUCAUGGUUUGCCAUGAUGAGCUUGGACUUUGGGGGUCUUGCUGGCCUGUGGUCAGCUCCUCCCAAAUGGAUUAGCUUGCCAGUGUUUGGUGGCAUCACAGGUGUGAUAACUAUCUACGCUUGUGGUUUUCCACCAGGUAACCUUCAGCAAUGGGGGUUCGCUGGGGCUCAUAAAUGUCUCUCCUCAGUGAGGACAGCUCUUUGAACGUUUGAUCUCAAAUCAGGUAGGACUACCCGCUGAACUUAAGCAUAUCAAUAAGCGGAGGA